AUCUAAGCAGACCCUUCUUGCCUCCAUUCCUGUCUUCUCUUAGUGGUGAGAUAUUACUGUUGUAAGACCCGAAGCAAAAAUCUGGGGCAUUGCUGUUGGACAUUAAAUUCAGUAUCUGCAAGUUCCAAUGGCACCAGGAAGCAGAGAGGUGAUUGUGAGGUUCCCAGGGACCCCGCCAGUGAGUUGUUUGAUGACUCACCCUCUCAAGAUCAUUCCACAACACUGCCCAAACAUUGUUUAUCACACCCGCUAAGCCAUCCACACCUGCUGACUGCAAGACUCCUGAUGACCCCACAACAGAGCUGCACAGAAGCCCAACUGGGGGAGAAUCAAAUCCUUGUCUAACCUGCUUGCCAGCAGCAAGAAGACCCAAGAGGAGUCAGCUCCAAUGGACAGGUGAUGGCACACAAUGCACUUGCACUGCAUGAAGGGGCUCAGGAGAUCACACCCACAAACCUCACUUGCAGUGUGUGGCCCCACAACUGCUUUUCA